UGGGGAAUUUUGGACAAUGGGCGAAAGCCUGAUCCAGCAAUGCCGCGUGUGUGAAGAAGGCCUUCGGGUUGUAAAGCACUUUUGUCCGGAAAGAAAUCCUUGGCUCUAAUACAGUCGGGGGAUGACGGUACCGGAAGAAUAAGCACCGGCUAACUACGUGCCAGCAGCCGCGGUAAUACGUAGGGUGCAAGCGUUAAUCGGAAUUACUGGGCGUAAAGCGUGCGCAGGCGGUUUGCUAAGACCGAUGUGAAAUCCCCGGGCUCAACCUGGGAACUGCAUUGGUGACUGGCAGGCUAGAGUAUGGCAGAGGGGGGUAGAAUUCCACGUGUAGCAGUGAAAUGCGUAGAGAUGUGGAGGAAUACCGAUGGCGAAGGCAGCCCCCUGGGCCAAUACUGACGCUCAUGCACGAAAGCGUGGGGAGCAAACAGGAUUAGAUACCCUGGUAGUCCACGCCCUAAACGAUGUCAACUAGUUGUUGGGGAUUCAUUUCCUAGUAACGUAGCUAACGCGUGAAGUUGACCGCCUGGGGAGUACGGUCGCAAGAUUAAACUCAA
rnacentral:rRNA from 1 species